rnacentral:tRNA from 1 species
CAGAAGAUAGUUUAUUGAAAAUAUUGGUUUUGGAAACUAAUGAAGGAUAUUUUCCUUUUCUGA